UGCAACCUGUGUCGAAGCUCAACUCAUUCAGAGAAAACCGUGACUCAGAGCUGACCAUUACGUAUUUGCAGAUGAACAGACGACAGAGGUCUGCUAGGAAUACACAUCAUACACACACGCAAAAAACAAAAAUCAAACCCUAAAAUCCACAUUUCCACCCUCAUGACACUAGCGACCAGAAACAUUCGAUCGUGAAACCUUGUACUGACUGUUUCGGAAUAGCGGGACCUGAGGAAAAGUUUGCACCGCCGCGGCGAAGCCUGGCGAGCUAGCACAUGCAGACUAGGGCAGGAGUUUAAGCUAUAAAUAACUGCAUCAGUAGAGGGAGAGGUUCCUACAGCCAGAAUUCCUCCCUUGCUCGCUUCUGGGGUUAAGAAUCCCGGACCUGAGCACCCCGCGACCCUGCCGGCUCCAGGGCUGCACACCCUUGGACGUGAAGAGAAGAUGACAUUAGGCUGUCUAAGCGGGAAGAGAAAAGCGCGCACUUGAAGAUUUUACACAGGGACGGAAGGCGGGGAGUCAGAGCACUUUAUAUCUGCUUCUGAUUAAACGUUCUCUGGCCGGUUUCUGAUUUGUUUUUAUUUGUUGGUUGGUUUGUUCUCUUAACUUGUUUCCUAUCACCGCCCUGCAUAAGUCCGGGGUUCCUACCCCCAGGCUGUGCUGAGGGGUAACAGAAUCACAAUAAAGAAUUAUCGCAAUACUUAUUUCUUCUCAAAAUAACACAAGAAGGUCACGUAG
rnacentral:lncRNA from 1 species